rnacentral:lncRNA from 1 species
GCAUACAAGCACAUCCAGGAGCUAUGCAGGAAGAAGCAGUGUGAUGUCAUGCACUUUCUUUUGAGGGUCCACUGCUGGCAGUACUGCCAGCUCUCUGCUGUCCACAGGGCUCACCGCCCCACCAGGCUCCACCGCAGCAGGCCUCAUAAAGCUGGCUGACUGCGCUACAAGGCCAAGCAAGGUUAUGUUAUAUGUAGGAUUCGUGUGCGCCGUGGUGGCCAAAAACGCCCAGUUCCAAGGGUGCAACUUACAGCAAGCCUGUCCAUCACGGUGUUAACCAGCUAAAGUUUGCCCGAAACCUUCAGUCUGUUGCAGAGGAGCGAGCCGGAUGCCACUGUGGGGCUCUAAGAGUCCUGAAUUCUUACUGGGUUGGUGAAGAUUCCACAUACAAAUUUUCUGAGGUUAUCCUCAUUGAUCCAUUCCAUAAAGCCAUCGGAAGAAAUCCUGACACCCAGUGGAUCACCAAACCAAUCCACAAGCACAGGGAGAUGUGUGGGCUGACAUCUGCAGGCCAAAAGAGCCGUGGCCUUGGAAAGGGCCAUAAGUUCCACCACACUGUUGGUGGUUCUCGCCGUGCAGCGUGGAGAAGACACAAUACUCUCCAGCUCCACCGUUACUGCUGAUAUAAGUAAAGUUUGUAAAAUU